GAGCGAACGCUGGCGGCAGGCUUAACACAUGCAAGUCGAGCGGGCAUAGCAAUAUGUCAGCGGCAGACGGGUGAGUAACGCGUGGGAACGUACCUUUUGGUUCGGAACAACUGAGGGAAACUUCAGCUAAUACCGGAUAAGCCCUUACGGGGAAAGAUUUAUCGCCGAAAGAUCGGCCCGCGUCUGAUUAGCUAGUUGGUGAGGUAAUGGCUCACCAAGGCGACGAUCAGUAGCUGGUCUGAGAGGAUGAUCAGCCACAUUGGGACUGAGACACGGCCCAAACUCCUACGGGAGGCAGCAGUGGGGAAUAUUGGACAAUGGGCGCAAGCCUGAUCCAGCCAUGCCGCGUGAGUGAUGAAGGCCCUAGGGUUGUAAAGCUCUUUUGUGCGGGAAGAUAAUGACGGUACCGCAAGAAUAAGCCCCGGCUAACUUCGUG
rnacentral:rRNA from 1 species